CCCCGUCUGGGAAGUGAGGAGCGUCUCUACCUGGCCGCCCAUCGUCUGGGAUGUGAGGAGCCCCUCUCCCUGGCUGCCCAGUCUGGAAAGUGAGGAGCGUCUCUGCCCGGCCGCCAUCCCAUCUAGGCAGUGAGGAGCGCCUCUUCCCAGCCGCCAUCACAUCUAGAAAGUGAGGAGCCUCUCUGCCCAGCCGCCCAUCUCUGAGAUGUGGGGAGCGCCUCUGCCCCGCCGCCCCGUCUGGGAUGUGAGGAGUGCCUCUACCCGGCCGCGACCCCGUCUGGGAGACUUGCCGGCCUCCAGUGUAGCCCACACCUCCUGGACUCUCCGUCGCCUCCCAGUUGCCUUUCAGCACAACCUCCACUGUUCUGGAGAGUGCGCUUAGGCUUGGACUUCUCCGAGCUCCAUUGCACAUGAAGUCAGUUUCUUCAAAAGCUACUCACACCUUCUGUUUUCUGCCUGCUGCUUUCCCAGGCAAACUCUCUGAGCCAGAGCUAUGGUGCUGGACACAGUGGUGCAUCUCUCUCUGGUGACACCUGCACAUCAGGAGCUGGGUGCUUGGUGAAUGGGGCAGUAGCCCCAGUGUUCAUCGGCUGUCCUCUCUUAGCAGGGAACCCCACCCCAUGAGCCAGGGAAGGGCGGCCGGGCCCCAGUAUUCUCAUGGGUGCUGCACUCAAGGCAGAGCCUCCAUCCCAUGAGUGGGGCCUGUGUGGAAGACAAGAGCCUCCACCUCUCAACCCACUUUCCUGGGCUGAGCAAGCGGUCUCAGCAAGCGGUAGCUGGUGGCAUGAUAAGAAAAGAUAACAUUCUGCCCCUCUUAGCAAGCAAAUCUCCCAGGCAGGAGCUAGGGGGUGAGGGAGUCCUGUGAUCUUGGAGAAAGCAGUCUGGAGUGGAGCCCCCCUCACUGGGGUGGGGAGUCAGGGAGGACGGGCAUCUUAUUUCACACACUGCAGGCCCUUGGUGUUCUUCCCAGGUGUUAGUAGGUUUUCUUAAUAAACGCUUCUUCAUUUGCUGUGUGCCCUUGGAAUCAUCCCAGAGAUUUUAUUUUAGUUUUUAUUUAUUUAUUUAUUUAUUUAAGACGGAAUUUUGCUCUUGACACCCAGGCUGGAAUGCAACGGCACGACCUUGGCUCACUGCAACCUCUGUCUCCCGGUUUCAAGCAAUUCUCCUGCCUCAGUCUCCUGAGUACUGAGAUUACAGGCACCCACCACCACGUUCAGCUAAUUUUUAUAUUUUUAGUAGAGAUGGGGUUUCACCAUGUUGGCCAGGCUGGUCUCGAACUCCUGAUCUCAAAUGAGAUCUCUGGACCUCAUCAUCCCAGAGAUUUUCAAUGGCUGUGUAUUUCAUGACUUCUGCCACCUUCACUGAGGCAGUCCAGGUUGGAGUGCAGUGGAGCAAUCUCCACUCACUGCAAGCUCCGCCUCCUGGGUUCGCGCCAUUCUCCUGCCUCAGCCUCCUGAGUAGCUGGGACUACAGGAGCCCACCACCAUGCCCGGCUAAUUUUUUGUAUUUUUAGUACAGACAGGGUUUCAUGAUGUUAGCCAGGAUGGUCUCGAUCUCCUGACCUCGUGAUCUGCCCACCUCGGCCUCCCAAAGUGCUGGGAUUACAGGCGUGAGCCACCACACCCGGCCUGCUUUUUUUUUUUUUUUUUUAAAGAGACAAGAAUCUUGCUAUGUUGCCCAGGCCGGUCUCAAACUCCUGGGCUCAAGCGAUCCUCCCAGCUCGAUCUCCCAAACAUUUAAAUGUUUUUAAUACAUUAAACAAGAAUUGCAUGUCUUGAGUAUUGUUAUAAAAUUCAAAUAAUUAUUUGAUCUAUAGAAUAAAAUAUACUACCAUUAGGUGACAGGUUUAGAUUAACCCUUUGAUUCCGAAUCCCAUGCACUUUCUUCCCACCUCUAUCUACUUCCUGGGAGAGACUCUAAGCUUCUACUAUGAGUUUGGCAUCAAUUGGGAUUUUAAUCCUGUUCCUGAGCCCCUCUGUGUGGAACACUUGCCAAGACAGAAACUGCAGGAACCCCAGAGUCCUUGCUCCUCAAACACUUUAGGAUUUCAAGGAGGAGGAGUCUCCCCAUUGAUGCUUCAUCCUUAUACGUCUCCACAUUCCCCAAGCCUUUUUAUUACAGGAAGCCUCAGAAUUAACCCUCCCCAUCGUAAACACAAGGACUGCCAGGCUGGGCCUCUUUCUACAGUAAGCCCCUCACUUAGUUCUGGGAGGACUCCGAG
rnacentral:lncRNA from 10 species